CCUACGGGGGGCAGCAGUGGGGAAUAUUGGACAAUGGGCGAAAGCCUGAUCCAGCCAUGCCGCGUGUGUGAAGAAGGCCUUCGGGUUGUAAAGCACUUUCAGUGGGGAAGAAAGCCUUGGGGCUAAUACCCUCGAGGAAGGACAUCACCCACAGAAGAAGCACCGGCUAACUCCGUGCCAGCAGCCGCGGUAAUACGGAGGGUGCGAGCGUUAAUCGGAAUUACUGGGCGUAAAGCGCGCGUAGGCGGUCUGAUAAGCCGGUUGUGAAAGCCCCGGGCUCAACCUGGGAACGGCAUCCGGAACUGUCAGGCUAGAGUGCAGGAGAGGAAGGUAGAAUUCCCGGUGUAGCGGUGAAAUGCGUAGAGAUCGGGAGGAAUACCAGUGGCGAAGGCGGCCUUCCGGACUGACACUGACGCUGAGGUGCGAAAGCGUGGGUAGCAAACAGGAUUAGAUACCCCAGUAGUC
rnacentral:rRNA from 1 species